rnacentral:rRNA from 1 species
UUUAGAGUUUGAUCCUGGCUCAGGAUGAACGCUGGCGGCGUGCCUAACACAUGCAAGUCGGACGGGGCGGCCAUUUCGGUGGCUGCUCAGUGGCGCACGGGUGUCUAACACGUAGCCAACCUGCCCUCUUGUGGCGGAUAACGCCCCGAAAGGGGUGCUAAUACGGCAUGAGCUCCUCAGGGGUAGCGACUGGGGAGGAAAGCCUGCGGGCGCGAGAGGAGGGGGCUGCGGCCCAUCAGGCAGCUGGUAGGGUAACGGCCUACCAGGCCGACGACGGGUCGGGGGUCUGAGAGGAUGAUCCCCCACACUGGGACUGAGACACGGCCCAGACUCCUACGGGAGGCAGCAGUGAGGAAUCUUGCACAAUGGGGGCCACCCUGAUGCAGCGACGCCGCGUGGGCGAGGAAGGUCUUCGGAUAGUAAAGCCCUUUUCUGCGUGGCGAGCGAGGACGUAGCGCAGAAGAAGCUCGCAAUA